AUGUACAGAGUAAAGGGUCUGAAUACAUGUCUAAUGUACAGAGUAAAGGGUCUGAAUACAUGUCUAAUGUACAGAGUAAAGGGUCUGAAUACAUGUCCAAUGUACAGAGUAAAGGGUCUGAAUACAUGUCCAAUGUACAGAGUAAAGGGUCUGAAUACAUGUCUAAUGUACAGAGUAAAGGGUCUGAAUACAUGUCUAAUGUACAGAGUAAAGGGUCUGAAUACAUGUCUAAUGUACAUAGUGAAGGGUCUGAAUACAUGUCUAAUGUACAGAGUGAAGGGUCUGAAUACAUGUCUAAUAUACAGAGUGAAGGGUCUGAAUACAUGUCCAAUAUACAGAGUAAAGGGUCUGAAUACAUGUCCAAUGUACAGAGUAAAGGGUCUGAAUACAUGUCUAAUGUACAGAGUAAAGGGUCUGAAUACAUGUCUAAUGUACAGAGUAAAGGGUCUGAAUACAUGUCUAAUGUACAUAGUGAAGGGUCUGAAUACAUGUCUAAUGUACAGAGUGAAGGGUCUGAAUACAUGUCUAAUAUACAGAGUGAAGGGUCUGAAUACAUGUCCAAUAUACAGAGUAAAGGGUCUGAAUACAUGUCCAAUGUACAGAGUAAAGGGUCUGAAUACAUGUCCAAUGUACAGAGUAAAGGGUCUGAAUACAUGUCUAAUAUACAGAGUGAAGGGUCUGAAUACAUGUCUAAUAUACAGAGUGAAGGGUCUGAAUACAUGUCUAAUAUACAGAGUGAAGGGUCUGAAUACAUGUCUAAUAUACAGAGUGAAGGGUCUGAAUACAUGUCUAAUAUACAGAGUAAAGGGUCUGAAUACAUGUCUAAUGUACAGAGUAAAGGGUCUGAAUACAUGUCUAAUGUACAGAGUAAAGGGUCUGAAUACAUGUCUAAUGUACAGAGUAAAGGGUCUGAAUACAUGUCUAAUGUACAGAGUGAAGGGUCUGAAUACAUGUCCAAUGUACAGAGUAAAGGGUCUGAAUACAUGUCAAAUGUACAGAGUGAAGGGUCUGAAUACAUGUCUAAUGUACAGAGUAAAGGGUCUGAAUACAUGUCCAAUGUACAGAGUAAAGGGUCUGAAUACAUGUCUAAUGUACAGAGUAAAGGGUCUGAAUACAUGUCCAAUGUACAGAGUAAAGGGUCUGAAUACAUGUCCAAUGUACAGAGUAAAGGGUCUGAAUACAUGUCUAAUGUACAGAGUGAAGGGUCUGAAUACAUGUCUAAUGUACAGAGUAAAGGGUCUGAAGACAUGUCUAAUGUACAGAGUGAAGGGUCUGAAUACAUGUCCAAUGUACAGAGUAAAGGGUCUGAAUACAUGUCUAAUGUACAGAGUGAAGGGUCUGAAUACAUGUCUAAUGUACAGAGUGAAGGGUCUGAAUACAUGUCCAAUGUACAGAGUAAAGGGUCUGAAUACAUGUCCAAUGUACAGAGUAAAGGGUCUGAAUACAUGUCUAAUGUACAGAGUGAAGGGUCUGAAUACAUGUCUAAUGUACAGAGUAAAGGGUCUGAAUACAUGUCUAAUGUACAGAGUGAAGGGUCUGAAUACAUGUCCAAUGUACAGAGUAAAGGGUCUGAAUACAUGUCUAAUGUACAGAGUGAAGGGUCUGAAUACAUGUCUAAUGUACAGAGUGAAGGGUCUGAAUACAUGUCCAAUGUACAGAGUAAAGGGUCUGAAUACAUGUCCAAUGUACAGAGUAAAGGGUCUGAAUACAUGUCUAAUAUACAGAGUGAAGGGUCUGAAUACAUGUCUAAUGUACAGAGUAAAGGGUCUGAAUACAUGUCUAAUGUACAGAGUGAAGGGUCUGAAUACAUGUCCAAUGUACAGAGUAAAGGGUCUGAAUACAUGUCAAAUGUACAGAGUGAAGGGUCUGAAUACAUGUCUAAUGUACAGAGUAAAGGGUCUGAAUACAUGUCCAAUGUACAGAGUAAAGGGUCUGAAUACAUGUCUAAUGUACAGAGUAAAGGGUCUGAAUACAUGUCCAAUGUACAGAGUAAAGGGUCUGAAUACAUGUCCAAUGUACAGAGUAAAGGGUCUGAAUACAUGUCUAAUGUACAGAGUGAAGGGUCUGAAUACAUGUCUAAUGUACAGAGUAAAGGGUCUGAAGACAUGUCUAAUGUACAGAGUGAAGGGUCUGAAUACAUGUCCAAUGUACAGAGUAAAGGGUCUGAAUACAUGUCUAAUGUACAGAGUGAAGGGUCUGAAUACAUGUCUAAUGUACAGAGUGAAGGGUCUGAAUACAUGUCCAAUGUACAGAGUAAAGGGUCUGAAUACAUGUCCAAUGUACAGAGUAAAGGGUCUGAAUACAUGUCUAAUGUACAGAGUGAAGGGUCUGAAUACAUGUCUAAUGUACAGAGUAAAGGGUCUGAAUACAUGUCUAAUGUACAGAGUGAAGGGUCUGAAUACAUGUCCAAUGUACAGAGUAAAGGGUCUGAAUACAUGUCUAAUGUACAGAGUGAAGGGUCUGAAUACAUGUCUAAUGUACAGAGUGAAGGGUCUGAAUACAUGUCCAAUGUACAGAGUAAAGGGUCUGAAUACAUGUCCAAUGUACAGAGUAAAGGGUCUGAAUACAUGUCUAAUAUACAGAGUGAAGGGUCUGAAUACAUGUCUAAUAUACAGAGUGAAGGGUCUGAAUACAUGUCAAAUGUACAGAGUGAAGGGUCUGAAUACAUGUCUAAUGUACAGAGUAAAGGGUCUGAAUACAUGUCCAAUGUACAGAGUGAAGGGUCUGAAUACAUGUCUAAUGUACAGAGUAAAGGGUCUGAAUACAUGUCCAAUGUACAGAGUAAAGGGUCUGAAUACAUGUCUAAUGUACAGAGUAAAGGGUCUGAAUACAUGUCCAAUGUACAGAGUAAAGGGUCUGAAUACAUGUCCAAUGUACAGAGUAAAGGGUCUGAAUACAUGUCUAAUGUACAGAGUAAAGGGUCUGAAUACAUGUCCAAUGUACAGAGUAAAGGGUCUGAAUACAUGUCUAAUGUACAGAGUAAAGGGUCUGAAUACAUGUCUAAUAUACAGAGUAAAGGGUCUGAAUACAUGUCUAAUAUACAGAGUGAAGGGUCUGAAUACAUGUCUAAUGUACAGAGUAAAGGGUCUGAAUACAUGUCCAAUGUACAGAGUAAAGGGUCUGAAUACAUGUCUAAUGUACAGAGUAAAGGGUCUGAAUACAUGUCUAAUAUACAGAGUAAAGGGUCUGAAUACAUGUCUAAUGUACAGAGUAAAGGGUCUGAAUACAUGUCCAAUGUACAGAGUAAAGGGUCUGAAUACAUGUCUAAUGUACAGAGUAAAGGGUCUGAAUACAUGUCUAAUGUACAGAGUAAAGGGUCUGAAUACAUGUCUAAUGUACAGAGUAAAGGGUCUGAAUACAUGUCUAAUGUACAGAGUAAAGGGUCUGAAUACAUGUCCAAUGUACAGAGUAAAGGGUCUGAAUACAUGUCCAAUGUACAGAGUAAAGGGUCUGAAUACAUGUCUAAUGUACAGAGUAAAGGGUCUGAAUACAUGUCCAAUGUACAGAGUAAAGGGUCUGAAUACAUGUCAAAUGUACAGAGUGAAGGGUCUGAAUAGAUGUCGAAUGUACAGAGUAAAGGGUCUGAAUACAUGUCCAAUGUACAGAGUGAAGGGUCUGAAUACAUGUCUAAUGUACAGAGUAAAGGGUCUGAAUACAUGUCCAAUGUACAGAGUAAAGGGUCUGAAUACAUGUCUAAUGUACAGAGUAAAGGGUCUGAAUACAUGUCCAAUGUACAGAGUAAAGGGUCUGAAUACAUGUCUAAUGUACAGAGUAAAGGGUCUGAAUACAUGUCCAAUGUACAGAGUAAAGGGUCUGAAUACAUGUCCAAUGUACAGAGUAAAGGGUCUGAAUACAUGUCUAAUGUACAGAGUGAAGGGUCUGAAUACAUGUCUAAUGUACAGAGUAAAGGGUCUGAAUACAUGUCUAAUGUACAGAGUAAAGGGUCUGAAUACAUGUCCAAUGUACAGAGUAAAGGGUCUGAAUACAUGUCCAAUGUACAGAGUAAAGGGUCUGAAUACAUGUCUAAUGUACAGAGUGAAGGGUCUGAAUACAUGUCCAAUGUACAGAGUAAAGGGUCUGAAUACAUGUCUAAUGUACAGAGUGAAGGGUCUGAAUACAUGUCUAAUGUACAGAGUGAAGGGUCUGAAUACAUGUCCAAUGUACAGAGUAAAGGGUCUGAAUACAUGUCCAAUGUACAGAGUAAAGGGUCUGAAUACAUGUCUAAUGUACAGAGUGAAGGGUCUGAAUACAUGUCUAAUGUACAGAGUAAAGGGUCUGAAUACAUGUCUAAUGUACAGAGUGAAGGGUCUGAAUACAUGUCCAAUGUACAGAGUAAAGGGUCUGAAUACAUGUCUAAUGUACAGAGUGAAGGGUCUGAAUACAUGUCUAAUGUACAGAGUGAAGGGUCUGAAUACAUGUCCAAUGUACAGAGUAAAGGGUCUGAAUACAUGUCCAAUGUACAGAGUAAAGGGUCUGAAUACAUGUCUAAUAUACAGAGUGAAGGGUCUGAAUACAUGUCUAAUAUACAGAGUGAAGGGUCUGAAUACAUGUCAAAUGUACAGAGUGAAGGGUCUGAAUACAUGUCUAAUGUACAGAGUAAAGGGUCUGAAUACAUGUCCAAUGUACAGAGUGAAGGGUCUGAAUACAUGUCUAAUGUACAGAGUAAAGGGUCUGAAUACAUGUCCAAUGUACAGAGUAAAGGGUCUGAAUACAUGUCUAAUGUACAGAGUAAAGGGUCUGAAUACAUGUCCAAUGUACAGAGUAAAGGGUCUGAAUACAUGUCCAAUGUACAGAGUAAAGGGUCUGAAUACAUGUCUAAUGUACAGAGUAAAGGGUCUGAAUACAUGUCCAAUGUACAGAGUAAAGGGUCUGAAUACAUGUCUAAUGUACAGAGUAAAGGGUCUGAAUACAUGUCUAAUAUACAGAGUAAAGGGUCUGAAUACAUGUCUAAUAUACAGAGUGAAGGGUCUGAAUACAUGUCUAAUGUACAGAGUAAAGGGUCUGAAUACAUGUCCAAUGUACAGAGUAAAGGGUCUGAAUACAUCAAAUCAAAUCAAAUCAAAUUUAUUUAUAUAG
ensembl:lncRNA